rnacentral:rRNA from 1 species
CGGCGUGCCUAACACAUGCAAGUCGUACGAGAAAGCCGGCUUCGGCUGGUGAGUAAAGUGGCGCACGGGUGAGUAACGCGUGGAUAAUCUGCCCUUAAGUGUGGAAUAACGUACCGAAAGGUGCGCUAAUACCGCAUAAUGCCUGGCAACACAAGUUGUCCGGCCAAAGAAGGCCUCUGUUUACAAGCUUUCGCUUCAGGAUGAGUCCGCGUACCAUUAGCUUGUUGGUGGGGUAAUGGCCUACCAAGGCUGCGAUGGUUAGCUGGUCUGAGAGGAUGAUCAGCCACACUGGAACUGAGACACGGUCCAGACUCCUACGGGAGGCAGCAGUGAGGAAUAUUGCGCAAUGGGGGCAACCCUGACGCAGCAACGCCGCGUGAGUGAGGAAGGUUUUCGGACUGUAAAGCUCUGUCGAGCGGGAAGAAGUGUACCAUGGCUAAUAUCCAUGAUAUUUGACGGUACCGCUAGAGGAAGCACCAGCUAACUCCGUG